rnacentral:tRNA from 1 species
UCUCGAUUGGUCUAGUGGUAAGGAUACCUGCUUGUCAUUCAAGUCUGUCGACCCUACAGUUUGUGGAUUCGCUGUCACAGAAUUGCAGAUCGCAGGUGGCCGGGGUUCGAUUCCCCGAUCGAGAG